rnacentral:lncRNA from 1 species
UGCUUUAUGAAUUUAAGGACUCCACCCACCCCUAAAUCUCUCAUUUGCACCUAAUUAACAAGGUUAUUCCUAGUCCUUUUUCAUAUGACACAAAGACUAUGCCGGUAUAUGAGAGUGAGUACUGGGAUGGAAGACAUCAGACCCAUAACCAAGGAUACCUCCUCUGCUGUAAUAACCCAAAGCUCAAGAAGCAACAUAAAUGAGUUGGAGUAGGAUCUUAGAGCUUAAGAAGCAAGUACUGUGGAUUACCUCCUUUCAGCAUGUGAGCUACCAAGUUUGAUUCAUGGGUCUAGCCAGCAGCUAGAAAUAGCUAGGGAUGCUUUUGAUUCAUGUGUAGGUAGCAGCUAGGAAUGCUUUCUUUUUUGGUAUAUUAUCUAGUAACUUGAAUGUUUGGAUGUUUGAAAAAUGCUACUUGAAUGAUAUGGACUAGUAUUCCAAGUAUGAAUUACAUAAUGAACAAACAACAGCUCCAAAUAAUGUUGUGA